AGCGAACGCUGGCGGCAGGCCUAAUACAUGCAAGUCGAACGGUCUCUUCGCAGGUAGUGGCGGACGGGUGAGUAACGCGUGGGAACGUGCCCUUUGGUACGGAACAACUGAGGGAAACUUCAGCUAAUACCGUAUGUGCCCUUCGGGGGAAAGAUUUAUCGCCAUUGGAGCGGCCCGCGUUGGAUUAGCUAGUUGGUGGGGUAAUGGCCCACCAAGGCGACGAUCCAUAGCUGGUCUGAGAGGAUGAUCAGCCACACUGGGACUGAGACACGGCCCAGACUCCUACGGGAGGCAGCAGUAGGGAAUCUUGCGCAAUGGGCGAAAGCCUGACGCAGCCAUGCCGCGUGAAUGAUGAAGGUCUUAGGAUUGUAAAAUUCUUUCACCGGGACGAUAAUGACGGUACCCGGAGAAGAAGCCCGGCUAACUUCGUGCCAGCAGCCGCGGU
rnacentral:rRNA from 1 species